rnacentral:rRNA from 1 species
AGCUCCAAUAGCGUAUAUUAAAGUUGUUGCAGUUAAAAAGCUCGUAGUUGAAACUUGGGUCUGGCUGGCAGGUCCGCCUCACCGCGUGCACUUGUCCGGCCGGGCCUUCCUUCUGGAGAACCUCAUGCUCUUCAUUGGGCGUGUUGGGGACCAGGACUUUUACUUUGAAAAAAUUAGAGUGUUCAAAGCAGGCUUUUGCUCGAAUACGUUAGCAUGGAAUAAUGAAACAGGACGCGCAGUUCUAUUUUGUUGGUUUCUAGGACCGCCGUAAUGAUUAAUAGGGACAGUCGGGGGCAUCCGUAUUCAAUUGUCAGAGGUGAAAUUCUUGGAUUUAUUGAAGACGAACUACUGCGAAAGCAUUUGCCAAGGAUGUUUUCA